GUUUGUAACCUACCUCUGACUGGAGGAUAGCCCGAAGAAAUUCGGAUUAAUACUCCAUAAUACUAUGGACAGGCAUCUGUUCAUGGUUAAAGCCCCGGCGGUCAGAGAUGGGCAUGCGUGACAUUAGCUUGUUGGUGAGGUAACAGCUCACCAAGGCUGCGAUGUCUAGGGGGUCUGAGAGGAUGGUCCCCCACACUGGUACUGAGACACGGACCAGACUCCUACGGGAGGCAGCAGUGAGGAAUAUUGGUCAAUGGGCGAAAGCCUGAACCAGCCAUGCCGCGUGAAGGAUGACAGCCCUAUGGGUUGUAAACUUCUUUUGUACGGGAAGAAACGCUUCUACGUGUAGAGGUUUGACGGUACCGUACGAAUAAGCAUCGGCUAACUCCGUGCCAGCAGCCGCGGUAAUACGGAGGAUGCAAGCGUUAUCCGGAUUUAUUGGGUUUAAAGGGUACGUAGGCGGGAGCUUAAGUCAGUGGUGAAAUCCUGCAGCUUAACUGUAGAACUGUCAUUGAUACUGGGCUUCUUGAAUGUAGUUGAGGUAGGCGGAAUGUGUAAUGUAGCGGUGAAAUGCUUAGAUAUUACACAGAACACCGAUUGCGAAGGCAGCUUACUAAACUACGAUUGACGCUGAGGUACGAAAGCGUGGGGAGCGAACAGGAUUAGAUACCCUGGUAGUCCACGCUGUAAACGAUGAUCACUCGUUGUUGGCAAUACACCGUCAGCGACUGAGCGAAAGCAUUAAGUGAUCCACCUGGGGAGUACGACCGCAAGGUUGAAACUCAAAGGAAUUGACGGGGGCCCGCACAAGCGGAGGAACAUGUGGUUUAAUUCGAUGAUACGCGAGGAACCUUACCUGGGCUUAAAUGUAGAACGACGGACCGGGAAACUGGUCUUUCUUCGGACGGUCUGCAAGGUGCUGCAUGGCUGUCGUCAGCUCGUGCCGUGAGGUGUCGGGUUAAGUCCCAUAACGAGCGCAACCCUCAUGCGGUUAGUUGCCAGUCGGGUAAUGCCAGGGGAGCUCUAAUGAAGCUGCCGGUGUAACCGGAGAUGAAGGUGGGGAUGAUGUCAAGUCAGCACGUCCUUUAUGUCCAGGGGUACACUCCGUGUUACAAUGGUCG
rnacentral:rRNA from 1 species